UGGCUUUGAAUUAACCUCUAGCCAAGGUAAAUUUAAUUACACAUUAUUAAAACAAAAAUAAAAUAUAAGUUUGGAAAGAUUUAACCGAGAGAGAGGAGAGUGCUUGCUGCUUCUUCUUAUUCCGUUUUUCCCUGCGUGCUGACCUCAUGCUCAAGCUGCCUCUUUUCCUGUUUCCCCGCGUACUGACCUGCCUCCUGCCCUAUUUCCUGUUCUUUCACGCUGCUGCGUGCUGACCUUCCCUGCACGCUGCCAAGUCACGCUGCCUAAUGGCAGCUCACCUUCUCUCCCUCACCUCCUGCACGUACUGACCUUCUCACUCCUCUGGCGCUGCCCCGUGUCCUGCGUUUCUUGUCAAGCUGCCCAAAGGGCAGCUCCCCCCUCUCCGUCCUGUCCUCUCCCCCCUUUGUUUUUUAUAUUUUUCUUCUUUUUCUUUCUUUGCGUCCGUUCUCCCCUCUAAUUAUCCCUGCUUUUUCUUUGGAUUCCCUUUGUCGCAGUCUUCUCAUUUCCUCUUUCUCUCAAGCUGCAAAGGUUUUCUUUUGUCUGCCUAAUCUCCCGCUGCCCUCCUUUUUUUCUUUCAAUUCUCCCCUUAGCUGUCUUGGGCAGCUUCUUUUUAUUAUUUUUUUUUUUUUGCUUGUCUUUCAACAUAUAGACAUAGAGAGGGACAAACCUUGUUUAUAAAAUGUAAAUUAAUAUUAUCAUGUGACAAUAAAAGGUAAUAUUGCAUAACAGAUCCUAUAAACACAAAAAUAACGUAAAUAGCUCAAAAAUAUAAGGAACUAACCAAGAAAAGACGAGUGAAUUCGAAGUAAAAAUAUAUAUAAAUAUGAUCCGAUCAAAUACCCCCACACUUAACUUUUGCUAGUCCUCGAGCAAAACAAAGAAAACAAGAACAAGAAGUAACAAGAAAAACAUUAGUUUCUCCCUAUCUGACCCUCAUAGAAUUUCAUUUAAGAAAACAAAUCAUCAAGAACCAUAGCUAGCAUCAAGGAACUAAUCCAAGUUCAUCUUCCUUAUUCAAAUAUUAGCAGUAAUCUUUGAAUCAUCCUUGAAGUGUAGUGUGUGAGAUAGCCAUGCUAAUGCAAUUUCAAGUUUUUAUUUUUAAAAUCAUCAUAUGCAAACUAGCGACCUUUUCACGAGAUAUGCACUCAAUCACACAUGUGUUUAGUUUUAAUGUGUUUCGCUCAAAGAAUCAAAUGUGAAAGUUCUACCAUAAGCUUGCAUAAAGAUCACUUCUCCACAGUCAUAAUUGCAAAACUUAAAUCAAGAGGACUUUUAUUGGAUGUAAUGAGGUUUAGGGAUAGGGUUAUUGAAACAAAAGAAUAGGAAACACAAAUUCCAAGCUACAUUGCAAGCAAUUUUUCUCUUUAGAUUUAUAAGAACUCAAGCUCUCCAACAAUUCUUCUAGCACCUCCAACCAUACCCUUAAACUGAAACUUGAACAACUUUUUAUUUUCUUUGUGUACAAUUUUUCUUUUUCUUUUUCUUUUCUUCUCUUUUUUCCUUUUUUUUUUUUUUUUUUUUUUUUUUAUAUACAAACAUGAAAUACCCCCACACUUAUUCUUUUGCCAAACACCUUCAAAGUACUUCACAAACGUUUCUCAUAAGACAAUCUCGCAUUGCUCGCUUGGAAAGGGUAAUGAAAAAUGUUUCAGGUAUAAGGGUAGACAUAUCUGGUGAUAAGAAAUAAAAGGUUCAACAUACACGGCUCAAAUUGGCAAACUAAUGAUAUCAUUUUUCUUUGGGAAACAUGGUUAUUUGGGCCAUAGUGGUAAACCUAAUGCCUCUAUCAUUUCCAAGUUCAUGCAAUCAAUGACAAACAUUUCGAAAGAUCGUUACGCAAGUUCUAGAGAUGUAUCUCACAUAAGUUCAUCACACAUGAAAGAAUAGGAGUGUAUGAAAAAUGCACACACACUUUCAAUCGGCUCAAAAACUCACAUAGGAUGGUCACUAAAUUCACAUAUGAAGCUUUAAGUCAUACUUUAGUUUCACAUUAACAAGGCUAUGUGCAUUUGGUUUUUCAAAGAUGGUCAAACAUGUACAAAACUAACAAGAGAAUUAGGAAUUUCAUAAAACACAUGUUAACUAAGUUCUUGAUAAUCAUGAUUCAAAUUUGAUCUAAUUAUAUCAUUGGGUCGGGAAACUAACAAAAAUCUAAUUCAAAACAAUAAGGGAAACAAGACAAUAUUUUUGGAUUUUUAAAUUUUCCGAAAUUUUUUUUAAUUUAAAUUUUUUUUUUAAAAGAAAACAAAACUAAUUAAGAACACAAAAAACAACAACACAGUUUUUUUUUUAUUUUUUUUUUAAAAGAAAACAAAACUAAUUAAGAACACAAAAAACAACAACACAGAGACAAAUGAAAUUCUGGAGAUUUCUACCCCCACACUUAAACUUGACAUUGUCCCCAAUGUCAGAAAACACUAUAAUGCAAAUAAAAAUAAAAUAAAUAAAUAAUAAGAAACAAAAUAAAACAAUUGGACUGAAAACUUCCCUAAUUUGCAGUAAAAUCAAGCGAUGACCCCCAAGCUAAAAUUCUGCAAUCAACUUCAAGGGUGGAAAUAACCAAAAGUUCCUGCAAAGAAAAGGAAAAAUUCAGUUAAGUAACGCAAGAAAAUGUAAAAAAAUUGCAAACGAAAAAUUGAAAAUCACAAUAAAAGACAAUGAAUAGAAACUAAUAAGUGAUCAUUGGUCAUGCUUGUUGAUUUUCCACAGCGUUCCUCUUGAACAGGGUGACACUUAGCUUUUCACUUGCAAGUGAUGAUUUUAUGAUAUUGUACGGCGAAGCUUUGCUCUUUGGUUAUGUUGCAGUUCCUUAUUUGUUCUCCAAGCAGAUGUGGCAGCUUCUCUAGUUCCUCAGUUCGGACUCCUUCCGCUGGGAUGAUUGUGCAAGCUGCAUUCUUCUCUGCUUGUUUCUUCUGCACAACGGGCAGGCACGAGGGAAAGGUGUUGGUCCUUAUUUCUUUCUUCAAUCUUUCCAAGUGCCCACCUCUUGCUUUCUUUCUCCUUGUCCCUAGCUGAAUUGUCUCCACAUGCUUCGAGGUAUCAUUUUCACUUCCCUUACUGUCCCCCAGGCAGAUGUGGUAGACGAAGAGAAAGCAUAAAAUGAUGAAGAUGAGUACUCGAGAGCAAGGCUAGGUAAGCAAUCAGGAAGGGGUUCCAGGCAGUUGGCUCCAGAUUGGAAGAUUGAUACCAAAUGCUGGCUGAUUGCUCUCUUUCUCCUUGUCGGAAAACAAAGACAAGGAGAAGGACAUGGAGAAAGCAUGAUAUGAGAUACUCUUGCUUUCAACCUUUAUGAUAUGAAAUACUUUUGCUUUGAAUGGGUUGUUCGCAGGAGUAUCCCAAGGAAUGAGGAACACAGAGUGACUCGAGAGGAUUCUUUGGGAAUGCAUUUUCGGAGAUGAAGAGGUGUUGAGAGGGUGUGCUGAGAGAGUGUGCUUUUGCUGUGGAAGGCGAAGGUAGAAACUUAUAGGACUUGUCUUCACAACCGGAACUGUUCUCUCACUUAGUGUCGGCAGCCGGUGGAUGGGUGAAGAAUACAAAUUACGCGCUUUCUGACAAAGCUGCCCGUAAUUUCCGCAAAGCAGAUUCCUCAUUGAUAUCUGGAAUCGGCGCUUCGAGCUCUGAGCAUCGUCGAUUGUAGAGGUAGCAUGUGACACGUGCGGAUAAAUCUGGAAAAGAAGAUUUGCCCGUGGGUUGAAGCCCAGCUUUUGAGAAAGCUAGCGUGUCUUUGACUGUUGAAUUUCCCUCUUCGAUUUCUGAAUUGGUGCUUCGACAAACUGCCCGAGAUUUCCGCAAAGCAAUUUGCGUGUGACAAGUGACGACACGUUUGGACAAAUUGAUCCUUUGAAAUCCGGGGUUCGGCUCGUGGUUUCUGAGCAAGCCCAGCCUUUAAGAAAUGAAACGCCUCUUUUGAGAAAAGAAUCCGGCUUUUGAGAAAGGAAACUCCUCUUUUGAGAAAAGAAUCAGACGUUUGAGAACGGAGCCCCGACUCUUCGAUUUGCGAGAGGACGCUUCUCUGAGGAGCGCCUCUUUGAUUUCUUCCUUUUUAUAGAGGCGUUAAUUUUGUUCCACAACACACUUGAGCUCCCUCUAGUAAACACUCCCAUCUUGCACUUGUUUAAUCUUGAUCAGUCCAACUCUCUUCUUUCUUCACCACCUCUGAAAAAUGUCUGGCCCUUCCGAUCGUCGUUUUGACUUGAACCGUGGUGAAGAGGCAGCUCCGCCUUCACCAGACAACAUAUGGCGCCCAUCUUUCAUAUCCCCAACCGGUCCCCUUACCGUGGGGGAUUCGAUGAUGAAAAAUGACAUGACCGCUGCGGUGGUGGCCCGAAACCUUGUCACUCCCAGAGAUAACAGACUGCUCGCAAGGCGGUCUGAUGAAUUGGCGGUCAAGGAGUCUCUGGCUCUCAGUGUGCAGUGUGCGGGUUCCGUAUCCAACAUGGCCCAACGCCUAUAUGCCCGAACCCGUCACGUUGAAUCCUUGGUGGCUGAAAUACAGAGUCUCAAGCAAGAGAUUAAAGGGCUCAAGCAUGAGAAUAAGGAAUUGCACAAGCUCGCACACAGCUAUGCCACCAGCAUGAAGAGGAAGAUUGACCAGAUGCAGGACACCGAUGGUCAAAUUUUACUUGAUCAUCGGAGGUUUGUGGGUUUGUUCCAACAACAUCUGCCUUCGUCUUCUGGAGCGGCACCGCGUAGUGAAGCUCCAACUGAUCAACCUCUGCCGCCUCCUCCUUCCGUGGCCCCGCCGACUGCUGAAGCCCCGCCUACUACUGAAGCACCACCCGACCAAUGAAUACUAUUAGUUUACAUCAUUGUAAAAUAUUUGUACUUUUUUUUUUUUUUUAUCAUUAAUUUUAAAUUUUAUCUUUUUUAUUUUUAUUUUUUUUUAUUAUAUCAUUUUUUUUUUUAAUUUUUUUUUUUUUUUAUGUAAAUUAAAGUAGAAAGACUUUGGUUAACCUUCCCCCAUACUUAAACUAAAUAACACAAACUCACAGAAAUCAAACAAAUAACACAACUAACUAAACAAAACAAAAUAAAAGCAGUAAAGAUAAGGGUGUAAAAAUGCAAAUCUGAUUGGGUUAGCGAUUCCAAAGUCUCCCUUCGUUGAAUGCUUGGGUUGCCUCCCAAGAAGCGCUUGAUUUAACGUCUUUAGCCGGACGCAUCUUUCCUUUAAAUUUCCCUCAGCUCCAUUUGUGCCUAAAAUCAAAGAAAGAAAAAUAAAUCAAAUAUCAAAAGUAAAAUACACAAACACCAAUAUAAACAUAAACAAAAAAAAAAAUAAAAGGAUUAGCAAAGUUACUAAUCCCCGGCAACGGCGCCAAAAUUUGAUGCGAGAAUUACUUGACACACAAAUUAAACCCUCUUUUUGACAAUUGUAGUAUAGAUGUAAGUAGGGUAUCGUUCUAGGCCGGGGAUUAGGAGGGAUUGCUAAUCUAUUCUCAAUUAAUUUAAAUAUAUUAAAUAAGACUCAAGGACACAAAACUAGGCUAAAAACUCUAAUAACCCGAAACACACUUAGAAUGACUCAAAAUAAUGAAACAAUUAAAUUAAACACUAGGAACUGAAAUGGACGGAAAUUAAAUUAAAAGACUAACAAUAAAGAAAACUAACUAAAUAAUAUAAUUUAAUAAUGGAUGGGUGUUUGGUUUUGAUGAAAAGUAAAUUAAACUUAACUAAAUUACAGAAUUGACAAAAACAUAAAAUUAAGGUAAAAUGAUAAAUGACGGACUGGCUAGAGGGUUCUUCUCCACACAUGACACAUAUGCAACCUAAAUUGAUUUUCAGUUGUUCUUUCAAUAAAUUGUGAAUCUCAAUACUCCAGAUUAACCGUGAACAGCACUUUUUUAAUCUUCAAGUUUUCCUUAAGUUAUUGAAUUGGACGGAAAAACGCAUACAACAAUUCAAAACAUUCUUCAAAAGUCCCCUACGUGAAAAGCACAAUAGAGAUACAAUCAAAGAUCAUUAAACUUUGUGAAAACUAUAAGCAUUGACGAGGCAUUCGUAACUAUGAAAAGCAUGAUACUCUUGCCAAGAAUUUACUUAACGUGAUUGUGACUAGCAACCUUUACUACUUGUGAAAAUAAGUUCAUAACGAUUAGGUGAAAUUCACUUAUAUUCUAGCAUCAAUUCAUGCAUGUAAAUUAAGCGUGCACUCUCAACCAACAUACACAAAUCAGUUUUUAUACGAACGGAUAAGUAAAUUGAAAUCACAACUUAUGAAAUCACAACCGAAGGUAAUCAAUUCAUAUUACAGAUAUAAUCAUGGCUUUGAAUUAACCUCUAGCCAAGGUAAAUUUAAUUACACAUUAUUAAAACAAAAAUAAAAUAUAAGUUUGGAAAGAUUUAACCGAGAGAGAGGAGAGUGCUUGCUGCUUCUUCUUAUUCCGUUUUUCCUGCGUGCUGACCUCAUGCUCAAGCUGCCUCUUUUCCUGUUUCCCCGCGUACUGACCUGCCUCCUGCCCUAUUUCCUGUUCUUUCACGCUGCUGCGUGCUGACCUUCCCUGCACGCUGCCAAGUCACGCUGCCUAAUGGCAGCUCACCUUCUCUCCCUCACCUCCUGCACGUACUGACCUUCUCACUCCUCUAGCGCUGCCCCGUGUCCUGCGUUUCUUGUCAAGCUGCCCAAAGGGCAGCUCCCCCCUCUCCGUCCUGUCCUCUCUCCCCCUUUGUUUUUAUAUUUUUCUUCUUUUUCUUUCUUUGCGUCCGUUCUCCCCUCUAAUUAUCCUGCUUUCUUCUUUGGAUUCCCUUUGUCGCAGUCUUCUCAUUUCCUCUUUCUCUCGCCAGCUGCAAAGGUUUUCUUUGUCUGCCUAAUCUCCCGCUGCCCUCCUUGGAUUCCUCUUUCAAUUCUCCCCUUAGCUGUCUUGGGCAGCUUCUUUUUAUUAUUUUUUUUUUUUCUUGUCUUUCAACAUAUAGACAUAGAGAGGGACAAACCUUGUUUAUAAAAUGUAAAUUAAUAUUAUCAUGUGACAAUAAAAGGUAAUAUUGCAUAACAGAUCCUAUAAACACAAAAAUAACGUAAAUAGCUCAAAAAUAUAAGGAACUAACCAAGAAAAGACGAGUGAAUUCGAAGUAAAAAUAUAUAUAAAUAUGAUCCGAUCACUUGCAAAGCUUCGGCACAAUGGUGCUUUUCUAAAUUUAGCUCUUCUCUGUGUGUGGUGUUCUGAAUGGUGCGGCACAAAUGUAUUUAUAAGGCAGAUACACGGCAUUGUUUGUGGAGGAAAAGGAUUAGUUCUUAGCAUUGUUUUAGGACUCCUAGAAAAUAGAUAAGAGAUGGUUUAAUAUGAUAAGGAAUCCCCCUUGCAGCUGGAAUUUAGGUAGAAUAGGAUUAGGAUAAGGUUAGGAUAAGAUAAGGUUUUGGAUAAUGUUGGAUAAGAUAAGGUUGGUUGUGAUAAUGUUCCUUCCUUUUAGCUGAUUCCUUAUCUUCCAAUUCUUGAUUUAAUUUCUCCAAAUUUGUAGCACAUUCCUAGCCUCUUUUGAUCUUCAAAAACGUCCAUUCAUUAUGCUCCAUACGCAUGCUAUCCAAACCAAGUCCAAAACUGCUCCAAAUUGCUCUUUCUUGUCACCUUUGCCAUUUGGACUUACAAACACACGAAAAUAGCUUAAAUCACUAAACAGAAACUAACUCACUAAAUGCAAAGAAAGAAACAAGCUAACAAAGUCGCAUAAAUAUGCUCCUAUCAGGAGGUUCACCUACCCUUCUCAACUUUCAACAACUUUGGUCGUAUGCAUGUUUGUAGUUUGAUCUAUGACUAAAAAGGCAUACACUUACCACUAAUCUUUUGAGUAAAUAUAUUGUCCUGGCUACACAAUUUGAAUCGAACUAUUCUUUGUUGCUUCAAAGUCUAAAUGUUAAAGUUUGCAUGAUUACAACUAUUAAAAUUUAGGGUAAUUCUCACUUUACCAUUCUCAAGUAUCUUCAUUUUCAAACUUCAUAUAUCAAGUUUUUUUUCGUCUAGUUUCAUACCUAAAGUGAGAAUUGUAUGGCACUUUCAUACUUCCAUUGGCCUUUUUGUAAAGAAUUCAGUUAUCCGAUGAUGUGACACGCCACUAGACGAUGUCUGUGUAGAAAAGUGGCAUUGUGGCCAAAUACUUAGGGCUCCACCCUUACCAACCCAUUAUCCUCACCCUUCUUCCCCACUCCAUCCGUCUCCCCCUUCUUCCCCACACUCUAAUUAUUUUGAUGAUUAAUUUUACAAUGCUCAUUUUAAUUCACCGCCUAGUAAAGAUAAUACAAGGGUUUCACAAACUACAAGUGACGCCUAGGUAAAUACAAUGUAAAGUUACUAUCUCAUGUCUACUACCUAAGUAAUCAUCUAACGAGUCCACAUGAAUUGUGAUUUGAAAUUUAUUUCUCAAAUCGCGAAUUAUAUGCCUUGCCCAAAGACUACUAAAUCACAUGGAUGAGUAUUUUCUUCCAAUGUGAAGGGCAGAGUUCCUUGGUUGUGCAUUUACAUGGUUCCAUGAAUAACUCAACAACUUUAACAGUUAUGGAACAAGCCUCUUAAGCUCUGGUGCUAAAUCACAACGUAAUAACCUAUCCACAAGACAACUAUAAUGUCUCAUGUCAGAUCGAAUUCUUAUUGACAUGAGUAUGUAUCUAAUUUACGUAUAAGAACUUUUAAAUGAUCACGUCAGUGGACUCAAUCUCUAUUAAGAACCUAUCAAUUUGUUUUAAUGUGCAAACACAAUGACAAGAGAUGUGUCAUCCUAGAUUUCGUACAUAUUAGUCUUAGUAGAUAGUCAACAACAAAUCGACAUUUAUGCCCUUGUUGGCAAAGUGACAUGGAUGUAGUAUUCGGCUUUCAAUUUAUUUUUCUCGCUAUCAUAAUUAAAUAGUACUCAUUGGUACGAUCGUGUGAGCGCGAAUUAGAUCAGAAUCGGACUUGUAAUGAAAAAAUUACGUUACGUUAAAGUGCAUUAACAAUGGGUAGAUUUGUACACGCAUGUGCAAAUUAUUUCAGUGUAGGAAAUUACUUUUUUUUAUAUGGAUACAUUAGAUUUCGUCGGAUUUCACUUGUACAAACCUUAUCUUUUAUCUUCUUUCAAAAUUGGACUCGUGCCCUCAAAUCCCUCACCACCAAUCAUUUAGUUUCCCACACUAUUGAACCCAAUCAGAUUUUUUUCCUCCUUCUCAGCAAAUCAAAAAGCUCUCUCUCUCUCUCUCUCUCUCUCUCUCUCUCUCUCUCUCUCUCUCUCUCUCUCUCUCUCUCUCUUUUCCCCUCGUCGAAGCUCUCUCUUCACUGCAACACACUUACACACCACCAUACUUCACAGAUUGAACUUAAAAACCCCACCAUCAUGUUCCUCUCGAACCCAUGAACCCAACCGUACAAACUGAUUCUCAAGUGGACGAGUUUUGACUCGCCAACUCGAAAGCUCUGACUCGGUGGAUUUACCCCAACGUGUUCCCGGCCGAGUUACAAGUUUUUGAGAUUUUUGGAAGCUUCCAUACAACUCCCUGGAGUCCCUAGACUAAGUUUGGAGUGGAGUCGACGCGAGAACGCAAAGUUUCAAGAUGACGAGUUUAGGUUCGAACCCUUCGAGCUAAUUUCAGUCCAUUCCCGUCCACUUUUUGGACUUCCAAAAGGUACAUACUCGUUCUACUCCUCAAGAGCUUCAUUUCCAUAUAAAUUUCAUAGAAAAUGGUUGAGAAAUGAGCAAGUUAUGAAGAUUUGAAAAUUUUUCCAUUUUCCAGCGAAACCAAACGGUGGCAGAGGUAGCGGCAGAUGACAGAGGUUCACCAGAGAAGAAGGAGAAUGUUCCAUCAAAGUUGAUGGAAUAUUCUAACGCCGUUAGACUCCAUUACUAUUUAAUGGAAUAUUCCGUCAAUUCUGAAGAAAUAUUCCUGUCUUCUGUCAAUCUCUACCCUGCGCGUGGGCGUGCAUGUGGCCAUGGGCUAGGCAGUACGAAGGGCAAGUUCGGCCUCUGGCCGGUGAGUGAUUGACACGUACGGGUCCGUGACUUCGUGUAUAACGUUUUCGUAAAUUCAAACCUUUCGUUUGAGCAAACUAUGGGGGGAUUUUCCUAGCUUUUAGUGUAUGUGUUAAUUAACUAAUUAUUUUAGUUAUUUCACAUAUAGGAGAAAAUUAUCCUGAGGACGUACGAGGACAAGCACGGCUCGGAGGCUACAAUCCGACCAUGUAUCAAUGAGUGGGCAUUUGUUUUCGUGUGUGUGUGUGUGUGUGUGUAAAGUUUUAUAGUUUGCACUAUUGCUUUUAGAUUGAUUUUACGCUUAUUAUGCCAUGUUUCAUUUAAUUUCAAAAAUGUUUUAUGUGGUUGAGAUUUAUAUUACUGUUAUGGCAUUUUCAUACAUAUUUUACUGCUCAUCAUUGAUGCACCCGGUGUUAGUGCUCCCCAAGGUCAGGGCCAAUCUUUCACGUGUAUAUUCACCCCUGCACCGCAUGCUUUCCUUGGAUCCAAUAGGUGUCAGUCCUGUCGUAUAGGUUUCAUUGGGCAAAUCCGACUUGUAGGUGACCGCGAUUAUCACCGGUCUUCAUGUGUUUGUAGCACUAGAGCGUACAUAUACAUUACACCUAGUCCUGUUCAUGUCAAAAAUUAUCUACAUGAACUCGUGUGCUAGCGUAGAUGGAUGAGCACCAUUUUCCUUUAUGCUAUUGUUGAGAUAUUGUGAUUUGGCGUAUUCUAGCAUUAUUGUUGAUUUACAAUUGUUUUCAUACUUAAACGUAGUAUGAUUUUCUAGAAACCAUACAUGUUUUACAGUGAGGGGUUAGUAUGUUUGGAAAAUAACUGUGUUUAUUAAAUCUUUGUUUUUACCCACUCACCCUUCUGUUUGUCGCCCUUCUAGGUCCUAGAUAACUGACCUACUUUGUGGCACACAAGGUUUACCCGGAAAUUCUAACAUAUCUCUAAUUAACGUAGGAACUUUUCCCGGUUGUCUAAUAAGUGCUUUUCUAGAUUCGACUGCAUUACCUUUAUGUUAUCUAUGCUCUGAAUGAGUUUUGGUUUUAAUUUAUUCACACUUUUACAUCACUUACACUUUUGGUUACAUCACCUUCGGGUAACGGCCAGCUUACCUUGACUCCAGCCGGGGUGUGUCAAUUUUUUUUUAUGAGAAAAUUAGAAUCCCCUACAAUUUUUAUAUCUUUUAGACUAAACAUUUGUGUCUUUCAAAAUUUGAUUAAAGUGCUUUGACCAAGUGUCAAUUUUUUUUUGAGAAAAUUAGAAUCCCCUACAAUAUUUUUAUAUCUUUUAGACUAAACAUUUGUGUCUUUCGAAAUUUGAUUAAAGUGCUUUGACCAAUAACACCUCAGCAUUUUCAGUUAAUUUAAAUUACAUAUGCAAAAGCCUGUCCCUAAAAAUUAUGAUUUUUGUAAUUUUAAUAAGUGAGUUUACAAAAAUGCCCUUCGAGGUAAAGUGUUGACUUUUUUUUACUGUCGUGUCGUGUCACGUAAGGUUCAUUUUCUUGGCGUAUUCUCGUAGUACUCAUCGCUACAAACGUGUGGGCACAAACGGAACGUAAUUUGGAGUUAUAACGAAGGAGAUAUUAACGUUUAAAGUCGAGGAUGAAAUUGUAAAUUUCUAUUUUCUAGAAAACUUCAAAUUUCUGUAGUUUAAUCUGGUCAUGCCACGUGUGUGGCUGGGAUUGAAGCAAGGAAAGAUGGGUGGUGCAGAUGGGAAAUAAAGGAGGAACAUGGGAGAGAAGUGGAGGAAUGAGGAAAGGAGAGAGAAAGGAACGGACCAACCAAAGAAGAAGGAAAGGAGGGAAAUGAGGGAAAUGAGGGAAAUGAGGGAAAUGAGGGAGGAGAAAAAAGAGGGGAACAGGCCGGGUUUCCCCUUGACCCGCGCGAUGACCCGGUUCCCUUAGUGUUUUCCAACGGUUUUCCGUCCAAAUUUCCAGCUUUCUUCAACCUUCCAUCACCACCAAACCUCAUCACAACAUCCUAGCACCUAAUUCUAACCAAAACCCAACGACAUUUGCUUUGAUUGUGUGGGGAAAACCACCCACGGGUCCGAGGGUUUCUCAGUGUUGAUCCUCCAAUUGUAAAACGUUUUCUUUGAAUUAUCACUACCACUAGACUUCCCUUGAGGCCAGGAACAAAGCCCAAUCAACAUUGGGGGCGUCGGAGUUGUUUUGGAGGUCGAAUCAAACACACCCUUUAUAGGGUUUCCAACGGAUUUUUGUGAAAUUGGGGCUUUUCCUGGCACAAUUGGCCUUAGGCUCAGGUAUAAAAGUUGCUCUACUCACUAAGAUCUUAAUUUCUAUGAAAUUUAGUAAUUUUUAGAAAUAGUUGAAUUUUCCGGCAAGUCGGGGCGGUCGACCGCCACUUGCGGCAGCGCAUGUGGCGGCGUGUGGCCGAGGUAUCCCCUGACCUUCCUAGGUUAAGUUUGAAUACCUUGAUACCAUUUGUGAGGUCCGAUUAACGAAUUUCCGUCAUUUGAACCUAGUUUCAUUAAGGACCGCCACCUAAUUAUUAUAGUAGUUGACAAUCUGACCGUUGGAUCGUCACUAAACUUUGAUACGUUGUAGUACAUAAUAUUUGAGGAUUUUAGAAAUUUACGGAUCGGGAAUCCGACGUACGGAUCUUCCCGAAUAGGAUUUGUAAGUUAAGUAUUCUAUUGACAAGAAUUCUGAGAUAUGGUUUGGUAAUUGUUCUAGGCGCCGAUUGUUCAUGACGCCUCGAAGUUGUGCUAGGGAAUUGUAGCGUGGACUCCAGGUUCUAGUAACAAAGUUUCUGUAUCGUCGAGGAUUCGUGGCAUAUCCCGGUACUGGUGGCUUCCUAUGAUGGUAUAAUCCUUAUCUCACCUUACUGUACUUUACUUAUGCUCUGACAUUGCGUGUGAAAUGGGUCCAUACCCGCUCACCGCGCACUCGUGUACUUAGGCACUUUUAGGAUUAAAUUUAUUCACAUUUUCCACAUCAUCACACUUUAUGGUUUCUUCACCUUCCUGGUGUCGGCCAACACAACUCGAUUCGGAGUCCUAGUGAACUUUCCAAAUCGGGGUGUGUCAACAUAUCACUAUGUAUUUUUUGAAAAUAAAAUGUUAAUUAUUAAUUUUUGAAUUUAUCCUCUAAGUUGUUGGAUGUGUUUUUUUCGUUAUUUAGUGGGAUAUUAGUUAUUAACUCUAUUAUCUCUUUUUUCCAAUUAUAUUCUUUCAAUCAAAACAAAUUGUUUUGUCCUACAAACAUUAAAUAUUCUCUCUUUUCCAAAUGGUUUGCUUUUAUGGAUUUUUAUUUUUUUUUCCAAAUCGUUGGUGAUCCACAAUAAUUUUUCAUAUUUUUUUGUCAGACUAUUUUUCUUUGCAUUUUUUUUUAUUAUAAUUGUUGACAAAUUAUUAUCAUGUCACAUCCCGUCAUGGGCCCCCACCACAUCCUGGGUUCAACUCGGUCGUAGCACAAUAUUGUCCACUUUAGACCCCGAUCAUGCCCUCACGGUUUUGUUUCUGGAAACUCACAAGAGAACUUCCCAGUGGGUCACCUAUCAUGGGAUUGCUCUUGCGCGAACUCGCUUAACUUCGAAGUUUCGAUGGAACCCGAAGCCAGUGAGCUCCCAAAAUGCCCAUUGCUAGGUAGAGAUAGGAAUAUACAUAUAAGGCUUACAAGAUCCUCACCCCUGGGCGAUGUGGGAUCUUACAAUCCACAUCCCUUAAGGGCCCGACGUCCUCGCAGACACAUUUUCGACCAGGGAUUGGCUCUUAUACCAAAUUGUCACAUCCCGAUCCAGGCCCCAACCACACCCUCACGGUUUUGUUUCUCGGAACUCACACGAGAACUUCCCAGUGGGUCACCCAUCAUAGGAUUGCUCUCGCGCGAACUCGCUUAACUUCGGAGUUCCGAUGGAACCCGAAGCCAGUGAGCUCCCAAAAGGCCUCAUGCUAGGUAAAGACGAUUUUGUUUCUGGGAACUCACACGAGAACUUCCCAGUAGGUCACCCAUCAUGGGAUUGCUCUCGCGUGAACUUGCUUAACUUGGGAGUUCAGAUGGAACCCGAAGCCAGUGAAGUCCCGAAAGGCCUCGUGCUAGGUAGAGAUGGGAAUAUACAUAUGAGGCUUACAAGAUCCUCACCCCUGGGCGAUGUGAAAUCUUACAAUCCACCCCCUUUAGGGACCCGACGUCCUCGUCGGCACACUUCCAGCCAGGGAUUGGCUCUGAUACCCAAUUGUCACAUCUCGACCUAGGCUCCACCACAUCUCAAGCUCGACUACAUUGUAGCACGAUAUUGUUCACUUUGGGCCCCGACCAUGCCUUCACGCAAGCAAAACUUCCUAGUGGGUCACCCAUCCUAGAAAUGCUCUGGCCCCUUUCUCGCUUAACUUCGGAGUUCCUAUGAAACCCGAAGCCAGUGAUCUCCCAAAAGGCCUCGUGCUAGGUAGAGAUGGGAAUAUACAUAUAAGACUUACAGCAUCCUCACCCUUGGGCAAUGUAAGAUCUUACAUAUCAGGUACAACAUAUUAUGUGUAUAUUAUCGCUGGGUACGUUUGAAUUUGUAAAAAACGUUGAUUGGUACAUUUAUUUGUGGUUUUGGUACGUUUGAUUUGGUAUAUAUUGUUGAUAUUGGUACAUUAUUUUCACUUUUGGUACGUUUGAUUUUGUACACAUUAUUUAUUGGUAUAUUUAUACUGUUGUCAGUCCUAUUUUUGGUACAUUUCAUUUCAUUGGAUUUAAAAAUAUUUUAAAUCGUUUAGAAAAAAAAAAGUUAUAUAUAUAUUAAAUCGUAGAUAAUCAUUGCUAAAUUGUAGGAAGUAUGUGAAAAUAAAUUGUAUUUAACUACAUUUUUUUUACAAUUAUCUCCAAAGAGGGAGAGAGUAAUCAAAAUGCUAGAUUGUAGGGAAUUUUUGGCGUGAGGUUUUAAGAACUAUGGGGCUUAAGAACUAUUGUCACAUCCCAGCUCUAGCCCCCACCACAUCCCGGUCUCGACUCCACCGUAGCACAAUAUUGUCCGCUUUGGGCCCCGACCACGCCCUCACGAUUUUGUUUCUGGGAACUCACACGAGAACUUCCCAGUGGAUCACCCAUCAUGGGAUUGCUCUCGCGCGAACUCACUUAACUUCGGAGUUCUAACGAAACCUGAAGCCAGUGAGCUCCCAAAAAGCCUCGUGCUAGGUAGAGAUGGGAAUAUACAUAUAAGGCUUAUAGGAUCCACUCCCUUGGGCGAUGUGGGAUCUCACAAUCCACCCCUCUAAUAGCAGUUCUACCGGGGAACUGAUAGGCCAGCACCCAGCCCAAAAACCAGCCCGGCACCUAGGCUAUCCACUCCAAGCGAGCAUUUUGACCGGCACCCAGCCCAAGCCAGGCAAGUGACCGGCCUAAAAUCUACAGACCCACAUGCCGGGCCAUUUGACGUCAGCUGGGCCAUCAACCUCCCGCGCGAUCAACGCGUCGCAGAGCUCCUCGGGGCUGAGGUUGAUUCCGGGGUGGAGGGAGAUUCUGGGGUCGUGGUGCAGAGCAAUGUUUUCUCUUCCCCACUAUUUCACGUUUUAUAUGUUUUCGCGUUAUUUGUUUUUUGUAAUGCUCUCGAGAGGAGAGAGAGAGAGAGAGGAGAAGCAGAAGCAUUUCGGACCAUUUUCCAUUGUUUCCGGUGCUCGCUUUUCUCUCUCAGGUACACACCACCACACACACACACUCUCUCUCUC
rnacentral:lncRNA from 1 species